rnacentral:lncRNA from 1 species
AUCCUAUAAAACUGCUGUACCCCUAUCUCCCUUUGCUGACUCUCUUUUCAGAUUCAGCCCAGUUGCACCCAAGUAAAAUAAACAGUCUUGUUGCUCACACAAAGCCUGUUGGUGGACUCUCUUCAUAUGGACUCAUGUGACAUUUGGUGCCGAAGACCUGAGACAGGAGGACUCCUUUGGGAGACCGGUCCCCUGUCCUCGCCCUCUCUCCAUGAGAUCCACCCAUGACCUCGGGUCCUCAGCCCAGCCGAAGGAACUUCUCACCAAUUUUAAAUCGGGGACGCAAAGCCAACAAGAAUGAAGAAGUGGCCAGGUAUGGUGGCUCAUGCCUGUAAUCCCAGCACUUAGGGAGGCCGAGGAGGAAGAAUUGCUUGAGGCCAGGAAUCCCAGACCAGCCUGGACAACAUGGCAAAAUCCAGUCUUUACAAAAAAAAAAUUUUUUUAAUUGCUGGGCAUGGUGGCACACACCUGUGGUCCCAACUACUUGGGAGGCUGUGGCAGGAGGAUUGCUUGAGCUCAAGAGUUCCAGGCUGCAAUUAGCUAUGAUCAGACCACUGCACUCCAGCCUGGGCAACAGAGUGAGACCCUGAAAAACAAAAAAGAAGGGAGGAAGGGGGGAAAGAAAGGAAAAAGAAAGGAAGGAAGGAAGGAAGGAAGGAAA